GGCCAUGUCUCUGCCAUCUGGGUAAAAAGGUGUCUCGAAAUUGGGGGCGGAGUCUCUUUUCUGACCCUACCCAAACGCACACAGAAACAACCCCAACAUUUGCAGAGCCCUUAAGCCUGUACACCCAAUGAGGAAUCGCUGGUUAGAGGCCGCGUGAAGGACACCCUGACCAAGCUGGGUCCUGCCCAUGCCGGUAGAUCGUCCAUGGCUUCCCUUGGGGGCUGCCACCCACUGUAAACCUGAGCAAGUUCAUCUCCUGUUCCGAAGCCUGCCCUGGCAAAGCCCCAGUACAUAUUCCAAUCCUGCUCUAGGGAGACUCCUAUGCAUUCAUCAAGGUCCAGCUCAAAUCUGGCCACCCUCAGUGGCUUUUCCUGACGCUCUCAGCAGAACCAAACCUCCAGCUUUGUUAUGUGUUGGUGUUGCAGUACACAGUGAGUGAGUUCUGUUUGUUUUCCAGGGCGGCAAUGAAAGGGUAGUCAUCAGGGACACAUAGGCUCGGGAAACCAACCCCCUGGGUUCAGAGUGGGCUCGUUGCUAGCUGUGUGCUCCACUGUCUGUGCCUUCAUAUCUAUGGUGCGGGAGUUAAAGGAAUCAAUAGGUGGAAGGUGCAUGUACCAGUGCCUGGCACUGAUGUACAUUCAAUCAAAGUUAGCUACCGUUGCCAGCUUUGCCAAGACGGGGUACUUGGGGGCGAGGAGGAGUGGCUGGAGGCUGGGGUUGGGGUGGCUUCUGGGUUUCUGGUGCUGUUUUAAUCUCGACCUGGGCACUGGUUUUAGUUUGUGAAAAAUCAUUGAGUUGCAUACUUAGAAUAUGUGCACUUUUCCAUAUGUCCAUCAUACAUUAAUAAAAAGUGUUUCUAGAAGUUAGUUGUUUUUCACUAAGAGCAGGACAGCCCUCAUCUCCUUGAGAACAAGAACAAAGCCUGACUUAUCCCAGCAGCUUGCACAGUGCUGGCGGGGCACACUUGCCAGGGAACUCGUGGUGAUUUGGAUCCAGUUCAGGCACCUGAAGCCCAGUUA
rnacentral:lncRNA from 1 species